rnacentral:rRNA from 1 species
UGCGCCUUGCCACGCCCGCUCAGAAACUCAAAGGAAUUGACGGGGACCCGCACAAGCGGUGGAUGAUGUGGUUUAAUUCGAUGCAACGCGAAAAACCUUACCCACCUUUGACAUGUACGGAAGAUCGCAGAGACGCGAUUGUGCUCGAAAGAGAACCGUAACACAGGUGCUGCAUGGCUGUCGUCAGCUCGUGUCGUGAGAUGUUGGGUUAAGUCCCGCAACGAGCGCAACCCUUGCCAUUAGUUGCUACAUUCAGUUGGGCACUCUAAUGGGACUGCCGGUGACAAACCGGAGGAAGGUGGGGAUGACGUCAAGUCCUCAUGGCCCUUAUAGGUGGGGCUACACACGUCAUACAAUGGCUGGUACAAAGGGUUGCCAACCCGCGAGGGGGAGCUAAUCCCAUAAAGCCAGUCGUAGUCCGGAUCGUAGUCUGCAACUCGACUACGUGAAGUCGGAAUCGCUAGUAAUCGUGGAUCAGAAUGUCACGGUGAAUACGUUCCCGGGUCUU